UCAAGCUACAAAGAGCGCAAGGGGAAUGCCUUGGCACCAGGAGCCGACGAAGGACGCAGCGAUCUGCGAAAAGCCACGGUGAGGCGAAAGCAGCCAUCGACCCGUGGAUUUCCGAAUGGGGAAACCCGGCUGAGCAAUACUCAGUCAUCAUGCGGUGAAUCAAAUAGCCGUAUGAAGGGAACCGCCUGAACUGAAACAUCUAAGUAGGGCGAGGAAAAGAAAUCAACCGAGAUUCCGCUAGUAGUGGCGAGCGAACGCGGAAGAGGCCAAACCGAGAGUAGAAAUAUUCUCGGGGUUCGGACAGUGUAGUGUAUUGAUGACGGUUAGCAGAAGGACAUGGGACGGUCCACCACAGAGAGUGAUAGUCUCGUACGCGAAAACCGAAGUCAGCCAACUGUAUCCAGAGUACCGCCGGACACGUGAAACCCGGUGGGAAUAUGGGGGGACCAUCCUCCAAGCCUAAAUACUCCCUGGUGACCGAUAGUGAACAGUACUGUGAAGGAAAGGUGAAAAGAACCCCGGGAGGGGAGUGAAAAGAACCUGAAACCUUGUGCUUACAAGCACACAAAGCACGUCAAAGUGUGAUGUGGUACCUUUUGUAGAAUGGUCCGGCGAGUGAAUGUAACCGGCGAGGUUAAGUGUUUAAGACACGGAGCCGCAGCGAAAGCGAGUCUGAAACGGGCGUUUCAGUCGGUUGUAUUCGACCCGAAACCGGGUGACCUAGCCAUGUCCAGGCUGAAGUUAAGGUAAAACUUGAUGGAGGGCCGAACCCACUCCCGUUGAAAUGGUAGGGGAUGAGGUGUGGCUAGCGGAGAAAUUCCAAUCGAACCCGGAGAUAGCUGGUUCUCUCCGAAAUAGCUUUAGGGCUAGCCUCGAUCGAACAUUACCGGAGGUAGAGCACUGAAUGAGCUAGGGGCCGAGAGGUUACUGAACUCUAUCAAACUCCGAAUGCCGGAUAAUGAUGAUCGGGAGUCAGACUAUGGGAGAUAAGUUUCAUAGUCAAAAGGGAAACAGCCCAGACCCACAGCUAAGGUCCCAAAGUAUGGUUAAGUGGAAAAGGAUGUGGAGUUGCACAGACAACCAGGAUGUUGGCUUAGAAGCAGCCACUCAUUAAAAGAGUGCGUAAUAGCUCACUGGUCGAGUGGCUCUGCGCCGAAAAUUUAACGGGGCUAAACCAUACACCGAAGCUUGGGAUGUACGAAGUACAUGGUAGGAGAGCGUUGAAUGCGGGAAGAAGUCAUAGCGAAAGCGGUGGUGGACUGCAUUGAAGUGAGAAUGCCGGAAUGAGUAGCGAGAUUUAUGUGAGAAUCAUAAAGGCCGAAUGACUAAGGAUUCAGAAGGAAGGUUCGUCCGCUUCUGGUUAGCCGGGAGCUAAGGUGAGGCCGAGAGGCGUAGCCGAUGCACAUACGGUGGAGAUUCCGUAGCCGCCGAAAGACAGAGGGACACUUUGGAAGCGUUGUUGCCGGGCGAUGGUCGCCCCGGUCGAAAGGGACCGAAGACAAGUAGGGAAGAACAGCGUGGACAGAGGCAAGAAAAGCUCUGUGAAUUAAAAGGCGCCCGUACCGCAAACCGACACAGGUAGUCAGGAAGAGAAUUCUAAGGCCAACGGGAGAAGGGUAGUUAAGGAACUCGGCAAAUUGACCCCGUAACUUCGGAAUAAGGGGUGCUCCUGAGAAGGAGCCGCAGUGAAAAGGUCCAGGCGACUGUUUAUCAAAAACACAGGUCUCUGCUAAAUCGAAAGAUGAAGUAUAGGGGCUGACACCUGCCCGGUGCUGGAAGGUUAAGAGGAGAGGUGCAAGCUUUGAAUCGAAGCCCCAGUAAACGGCGGCCGUAACUAUAACGGUCCUAAGGUAGCGAAAUUCCUUGUCGGGUAAGUUCCGACCCGCACGAAUGGUGUAACGAUCUGGACACUGUCUCAAC
rnacentral:rRNA from 1 species